rnacentral:rRNA from 1 species
ACGAACGCUGGCGGCGUGCUUAACACAUGCCAGUCGAACGGAAAGGCCCUGCUUUUGUGGGGUGCUCGAGUGGCGAACGGGUGAGUAACACGUGAGUAACCUGCCCUUGACUUUGGGAUAACUUCAGGAAACUGGGGCUAAUACCGGAUAGGAGCUCCUGCUGCAUGGUGGGGGUUGGAAAGUUUCGGCGGUUGGGGAUGGACUCGCGGCUUAUCAGCUUGUUGGUGGGGUAGUGGCUUACCAAGGCUUUGACGGGUAGCCGGCCUGAGAGGGUGACCGGCCACCUUGGGACUGAGAUACGGCCCAGACUCCUACGGGAGGCAGCAGUGGGGAAUAUUGCACAAUGGGCGGAAGCCUGAUGCAGCAACGCCGCGUGCGGGAUGACGGCCUUCGGGUUGUAAACCGCUUUCGCCUGUGACGAAGCGUGAGUGACGGUAAUGGGUAAAGAAGCACCGGCUAACUACGUG